AUUUAUCUGUAACAAACACGACUUCUUAAACGCAUAAUAACUGGACAGAUCAUUUCCAUAAUAAUAGUUGAACCGACCCGUAACUAUUGAUCUUCAGACCCCAAACCCCGAACCGUUUGAUUAUUCUUCCCUCCCAAGAAUCGUUUUUGACCUAAAAACUUGAACCAAAAAAACAAAAGGGAAACACCUAAAACCCACUGAAAUCGGAAUUCACCAAAUCAAACCAAAAUCAUCAGUCGACUAUUUUGCAGGGCUUCGAAGAAUGGCCACCGGUGGAGCCGGAUCGUCUCAGAAAAAUGUUAAAAUAAGAUUCUAUCACGGUGGAACUUUUGAGGGGAACCCAAAAUCAUCAUAUCUGAAUGGGAAAGUAGAACUUAUGGAGCAUUAUGAUGUCGAAGAGAUAUGUUAUUGGAGUUUGUUGUCGAUGGUGCAUCAACUCGACUAUGCCUUCAAUGAGGUUAAACGGUUGUAUUUCUUAGAGCCAGGAAAAACUGUAGAGGAUGGUUUGAAGUUGUUGUUUGACGACAAUAGUGUGCUUGAGUUGUCAAAUCAUUUAAAUAAAUUUGGUGAAAUUUCUAUUUAUGUUGACCACAUCGGUGAUGGAAAUGAGAAAUCUAGUGACAUUCCUUUACCUAUAGCUUUCUUUAAGCCGGUUGACAAGUCGUUUGAUGAAGAUGGUAAGAAGGGUAUUAAUGAGAAUGUAGAAGAUGAUCUCAAUAUAGAUGGUAUAAAUUGGUCUAGUGAUGAGGGGGACGAUGAGUUAACUCUAACUCAACUAAAAGAUUUGAAUAGGUUCGGCACAGAGGACGUAGGUAGUUUAGGCCUAAUUGGAAAAGGGGGUACUAAGGAUGUGGGUGCAGGCCCAUCUGAACCACAUGGUGUGGACCAUUGUGGUGCAAGGUCAUCUGGAACACAUUGUAUGACUGAUAAUUAUGCAGUACAAUCCAGAGUUGGUGGUGAUGGCCAAGAUGUUGUACACAGUUCUGGUGAUGAUGGACCCAAGAGUGAUUACAUUGAUUUGGAUGAUCCAGGUAGUUAUGUAACCACAUCUGAUGGAUUGGAUGCUGAAGAUGCCCAAAGGGUACCUUCGGGGGGAUUGUCUUACAAUCCUGGUGUUGGCGAUCAAGGGUUUUUUCUUGGCCAGAUAUUCAGAGAUGCUGCACAGUUUAAGAUGGCUCUUAAUGACCAUUCUUUGAAAAAUCAGUUUUCAUAUUGCUACAAAAAGACUGAAAAAGUUCGGGUGAGAGCAAAAUGUGCCACAAAUGGUUGUCAGUGGGAGAUAUUAGCCUCUCAGCAUGGCAACGACAAUUCAUUUAGGGUUAAGACAUAUUUCUCUCAACAUUCCUGCUUGCCUACCACUCACAAGAAACGAGUGACAUCCAAUGUGAUGCCACAAAAGGGGUGGGGGAGAAAAGGCUUAGAGGGGACAAAGAAGGUGAAAAUGUCCAGGGUUGGAAGAAUAAUGAAGUGUAGCAUUUGCCACAAAGAAGGCCACAUCAGAACCAAAUGCCCCAUGAUGCCAGAUGCACAAUCAUCAAAUUACGUAAACUUGAAGAAUGUUUCAAAUAAAAGGAAGGCUUCUACAUCAACUGCUCCUGCAACCACAUCUACAAAUGAUGAUCAAUCUUCUUCUGAAAGGAUGGUAAAAGUGAAAAAAGCUCGGCCUCAAAGCGCUUCGGGAUUGAAUGCAAGAAAAAAGACAGAGAAUGGUUAACAGUUAGAUCCACCAAUGAGUUGAGCCUUUUUUACGAUCUUUAUGCAGCCUGUCAUGCCGCCAUUUAUGUUCAAACUAGCUGAACCGAAUUUGAAAUUUGAAUAUGCUGUUUUUGGUGGACUGAAUUUGACAUUGGUACAUGCUGUUUACAUGUUUGAACAACCUGAUUUUGUGAACGUUAUUUGGUACAGUACAGACGCUGCAAUGUUUGUGCUCAAGAGCAAAGGGGAGCUAAAUCCGAUAAAGGGAAGGAAAAAGUGGUCGAAUAGCCGUUGAAGCCGUCCGACGACAUCCGAGAUUUUGCUCGUUAGCGAUCGGAUUCGAGAUCAUUAAAGUCGAAGUCAUCUACACUAUCAAAGCCUCCAUUUUGGUAUAAUUUUGGUUGAACUUUGAAAUGGCAUGUAUAGGACUACCCUAUUGUUGAAGGUCAUGUACCUUUCGGUUUUGUGUAAGCUUGGAUAGCCAUGCGAAAAUGGCUUAUAUACGUUUUUAGUAUGAUUCUAUAAUCGUUUGUAUGAUGAUCAUUAUGGGGUAUGGAAUUGUUUGAAAAGAUUAGCCAUUGGAAUGGUUAAUCGUGAUCACACUUUGUGCUAUGUAUGCAAAAAGGGCCAAUUGAAUCGUGGAAAUCAUGAAAUAGGUAAUGGUUACCUUGAAAACA